GACGAACGCUGGCGGCGUGCUUAACACAUGCAAGUCGAACGGAAAGGCCCUGCUUUUGUGGGGUGCUCGAGUGGCGAACGGGUGAGUAACACGUGAGUAACCUGCCCUUUACUUUGGGAUAACUUCAGGAAACUGGGGCUAAUACCGGAUAGGAGCUCCUGCUGCAUGGUGGGGGUUGGAAAGUUUCGGCGGUUGGGGAUGGACUCGCGGCUUAUCAGCUUGUUGGUGGGGUAGUGGCUUACCAAGGCUUUGACGGGUAGCCGGCCUGAGAGGGUGACCGGCCACAUUGGGACUGAGAUACGGCCCAGACUGCUACGGGAGGCAGCAGUGGGGAAUAUUGCACAAUGGGCGGAAGCCUGAUGCAGCAACGCCGCGUGCGGGAUGACGGCCUUCGGGUUGUAAACCGCUUUCGCCUGUGACGAAGCGUGAGUGACGGUAAUGGGUAAAGAAGCACCGGCUAGCUACGUG
rnacentral:rRNA from 1 species